rnacentral:lncRNA from 1 species
CAUUUCAUUAUUUUCAAACUUCAUUCUUUACUUCAUACACAAUAAUUUAUCCCAUUUUAGUUAUAUUAUUUUAUUCUUUGGCUGAAAUGUAGUUUUGAUCUCAUAUUUUUAAUUGUUUGAAGUUUUGAUCCCCCUCUUUUAAAAAUUAAUCUUUCCCCCUAUUUCAAUAUAUAUAUUUUUUUUUUUACUUUUAAUUUGGUCUACCACUCCAUUUUAGGGUGAAUUUCAAUGAUAUUGCAAAGUCAAUUGUGACAUGUUAAAUGCCAUGUGAAUAAAGCAUUAUAGGUGACAUUAAUAUUUAUUUUAUUUUCAUUUAAAAAUAUCUUUAUUAAUAAAAAAAUAAAUUUAAACCUUAAAAUAGAAUGGAGAACUAAAAAUAAAAAGUUGAAAUUGAGGAUAAAAAAAUAAUUUUUAAAUUAGAGGAAUCAUAAUUUCAAAAUAAAUUAAAAAUAAAAGGAUGGAAAUUGUAUUUAAACUUAUUCUCUUUUUUCUUUUGAUUACUCUUUUGUUUUUUUUUGUUCAUUACAACAGCUCAACCACGAACCCCAGGUAUUAAAUGUUUAAAAGCUAUUGAUUGUCCACAAGAUUUUUGCCCAACUAAUAUGGUAGUGAUAUGUGGUUUUGGUGAGUGUGCUUGUGUUCAAUAUAUAAUCCCCAAGGAAAUGCUGCCCCCGAAGGACUAAUUAUAAUACUCAAAUAGAAUAUUUUAUGAGCUGUCAUUUAAUUAUCGUCUUGAUAUUCAAUAAUUUGAAUUUUUUUUUUUAUUUUCUAAUUUCAUAAACCUUGUAUUUUGGCUUGGACUUUAAGAUGCUUAUUAAUUCAGAUGACAUUAAUGAUCAUUUGACGGUUGUUUUUAACGAGAUUCAAACUCGGCAUAUUGUAUAUUUGGCUUUAUAAUCUAAUAUGAUUGUAAUGAAAUGAAAUAAGGCAGCAAAUAUUAUUAUUUUACAGUUGUUUUUGACAACAUUCAAACUCAGCAUAUUGUAUUUUUGGCUUUUCAUUUUUUUUAAGAAUAAUUUCAUGGAUUGUUUUAUAGUUACUUCACAAUCGAACUCUGAAUUAUCGGAAUUUCUUUCUCCUGAAAAUGAAUUGAUUAAUUAAAAAAGAAAGAAAUUCACGUGUUCUUCUUAUCAAAAAAUUUCCAACCCUACUACCUAUAGUUAAGUGAGAAAUUAGUUUUAGUGUCAGUGUGAUAAAUAUACAAUAAACCUAAAAAAUUAAUUUUGUUUAUAAAGUCUUACAAUGCAAGUAACAAAUACAAACAAAUCAGUAGUUCAUGCAUGAAAUUAAUGUCACCAAGAACAACAAAGUUAAAUUAUCAAACUCAUAUUUAAUCCAUCUUGAAAUAACCUACAUAUUUACUUCAAACAAACUCAUUGAUCUCAAAUCAUAUACACCAAUAACCCUUCCCGCCCUUUUCACGAGAAGCACCGAGCUAACUGAAUUUUUAAAGUUAUUUGAUUUGAUUUGAUGAAAUUCAAUUUUCAUACUUAAUUAACACAUCGACAGAUACAAACUGCAUAUAAAAAUCUUUUUUUAAGAUAAGGUAAGAGAAAUCUUUUAUCUCUUGGUUUUGGUUCAUAGGUAGAAUAGAUUUUUUAUUUUUUUAUUUUAUUUUUACGAUUGGUGUAAUGACUCAUUAGUUUGCCUUCAGAGCAUUCAAUGGCGGUUUCUUGAAUUAUAAAGAUUGAAUACCCCAAUACUCCUUAUAACAAAUUAUGUUGGUAUACCAAAUAUGUUGGUAUCCCCUCAAACUGUCAUCCUCUAACAUAUUCUCAUAAUAAUAUAUUAUUGAUUGACCCUUGGCAAAUGCACCAAUUUUAUCGUUAAGUAAUAAUAUUUAUAAUAAGUUCAUCUCCACAGGGAUCGUGUCAAAGUAAUUAGUUUAAUUUUGGAAUUAAAACUAGAAAAGUAAAUUUGCACUCCCUUGUAUAAGAUAAAAGAUAGAUUUUUGGAGAAAUUCAAGUUGAGACAAGUGGUUAGGCGCUUUCGAAUCUCUCCCCUAUUCCUAUUUGGUAAUAUGACGUUAUAUUUCGUUGCAAUUCCUUUUAUUAUCAUGACGGAUUAACCCUAAAAUAGUGAGAUGUGCUUUCACAUACUAAAAUCACCAUAUGCAAUUGAAGACAACGACCAGUAACACCAGUUGGAAAUCAUUCAAGCAUUAAUUGAGCGUUAAUCCUAUUGCCUCUAACAUCGGGUGCUUGAGUUACCUUUCUCAAUGCCGGCUAGAUUAAUUAUCCUAGACUGAAAUUUAGGGCUCUGUUAGGACGAUACCUAAUUCUUAAUAACAAUUAAUUCAUAAAUUUUUUUUUUUUUUUAAGAGACAUAAAAUUUUGAACAAUUUUGUCUCUUUUUCUUUUUUUCUCUUUGAUUUUGUGAUAGUUCUCUUGUAUACCUUCUCAAACUUAGUUGUUGAUAGUUUCAUAUGAGCAACCCCAAACUUAUAAUAUUGUCAAGAAAAGAGAACUAAAUUUCUACCUAACUCUAAGGAGGGUAAACAAAUUUAUUUUUGAGGUCUAUAGGGUUUUAAUAUGGUUUAUCACCGAAAGAAAAAAGAUAAUUUUCACGGCUCAAAAUUGCUAAACAAAGAAUAAUUAUUAUUAAGGGUAACUUGAAAAAGGCUCUAGGUACCAAUAAAAAUUGCCUCAUUGUGAGUAAGUUUAAACCAAUCAGUCAGCAGAGAAUAUUAAUGCAAGUUCUAAAAAAUAAAUAUUUUACGGUACUCUCAUAAAAUAUAGAAAAAAACUGAAAAUACCGUAAAAAUAUUUGGCUCAAAUCCUUUGACUUCGAUAUUUAAAAAGAGAGGUGUUUUAUUGGUAUAGGUAUUACGAAUCAACUCUUAUAAAUCUUCCAUCAAAUAUACAGUCCCAUAUAUCUACGAUCUCAAGAUCCCUAUUAUCUGGUGUCACAUAUUUUGUAGUUAGAUUUGAUCAAGCAUUACACUCAAUUAAUGCAUAAACAUGUCGUCACCUAUUAGGUAAUUAUUUCCACAAAUAAAUUUUCUAUUUUGUCCAACAAUAUUACCCAUUUUUCCUAAAAAAAGAAACCAUUAUUACUCCUUUUUUUUCUUUUCUAUUUUCCCUUUCAUGAUAUGAAAGGUUAUAAAAUAAUGAAAAUUUAUAUAAAAAAUAAUGAAUUCUUAUGAUUGGUAAUUUUUUUCACCUUUUUAUUAAGUGUGUUAUAAAAGUAUAAAACAACAAUUUGACGUACUUAAGAGACAUUUAAUAACGAUUAUAAUUUUAAGAAGAGUAUUAUACAAUUCCAUAAGCGCUAAAAACUAUUUCAUUGAUGUAACAAAAGGAUCACCUCUAUAAAUUAUAAAGUGUUAAAUCAUUUUUUACAUGCAAUGAGGAAAAAUAUGACUCAAAUUGUUAAGUCUGUUUAUAUUAUGAUUAUCUUUUUUUCUCUUUUUUUUCUUGCAAAGAACGUAAACGGUAAAUGAUAUUUAUUAUUUUAAAGUUUCCUAUUUUGCACAUAAUAUUUUAUCCCAUUUUAGUUACCUUAUUUUAUUCUAAUAUUUUUCAUUACAUUACAUUAGGAUAUAUGUGUAUCGACAAUGCUGAUUGUCCUCUUAAUUUAUGCCCGCCUACUAUGCAAGCGAUCUGCUUUUUUGGAGAUUGUGCAUGUGUUGCAGAUCCAUUGCCAGAGCCAGAACCAAUAGAAGAACCAUGAGAGUAUAAAAAUGUCAUGCUGUCAUUUAGUUAUUGUGUUGGCACCUAAUAAUUUGAUUUUUCUUUUUUUUUUAAUUUCGCAAAUCUUUUGGUUAUGAGUUUAUUACUCUAAGAUUAUGGUAAUAAUAUGAAAUAAGGCAGCGAAUAAUAUCAUUUAGAUUCUCCUUUUCUAUCUUAAUUAAUUGUAAGUGGAAAAUAAUAAAAUUUAUAUUAUUAUUUUAAA